rnacentral:rRNA from 1 species
UGGGGAAUUUUGGACAAUGGGGGAAACCCUGAUCCAGCCAUCCCGCGUGUGCGAUGAAGGCCUUCGGGUUGUAAAGCACUUUUGGCAGGAAAGAAACGUCAUGGGUUAAUACCCCGUGAAACUGACGGUACCUGCAGAAUAAGCACCGGCUAACUACGUGCCAGCAGCCGCGGUAAUACGUAGGGUGCAAGCGUUAAUCGGAAUUACUGGGCGUAAAGCGUGCGCAGGCGGUUCGGAAAGAAAGAUGUGAAAUCCCAGAGCUCAACUUUGGAACUGCCUUUUUAACUACCGGGCUAGAGUGUGUCAGAGGGAGGUGGAAUUCCGCGUGUAGCAGUGAAAUGCGUAGUUAUGCGGAGGAACACCGAUGGCGAAGGCAGCCUCCUGGGAUAACACUGACGCUCAUGCACGAAAGCGUGGGGAGCAAACAGG